rnacentral:rRNA from 1 species
UACAGAGGUCUCAAGCGUUGUUCGGAUUCAUUGGGCGUAAAGGGUGCGUAGGUGGCGCGCUAAGUCAGGUGUGAAAUUUCGGAGCUUAACUCCGAAACUGCAUUUGAUACUGGCGUGCUUGAGGACUGGAGAGGAGACUGGAAUUUACGGUGUAGCAGUGAAAUGCGUAGAUAUGUGGAGGAACACCGAUGGCGAAGGCAGCCUUCUGGGCCAACACUGACGCUCAUGCACGAAAGCGUGGGGAGCAAACAGG